rnacentral:misc_RNA from 1 species
AAGGAUCAUUAACGAGAACUUGCCCCCCGGGGUAGAUCUCCCACCCUCUGUUUACAUACUUUGUUGCUUUGGCAGGCCCGUCUCCGGACCGCCGGCUUCGGCUGGCCCGUGCCUGCCAGAGGAUUCAAAACUCUGAUAAUUAUGUCGUCUGAGUACUAUAUAAUAGUUAAAACUUUCAACAACGGAUCUCUUGGUUCUG